rnacentral:lncRNA from 1 species
AUGCUGGGAAUACCAACUAACACUUGUUACAGAGUGUGCAUGGCGGCUGCUGACAGGCCUUCCCAGUGCCAGCAAGUGGAUACAGAAGCAAUCUCCCAAGCUUUCCAUGACAUUCAAGUGACCAGGCACUUGGACACCCAUCACUGGGGCUGUGUUCCUACCUUAGCCAGUGCCCACAAGCAGCAGCGGUUCCUCUGGCGUUUUGACCCUGAGAGAAGAUGGAAAACCCUAGGUGCUGGGGAUCAUGGAGAUGCUGGCCCCUUCCAACAGCAGCCUCGCUCUUCUUCCUUUUACCACCAAACCUGGAUGCCUCUCUUCUUCCACACUCUCUGCCCUGUCCUCUUAUCCAUUCUCCUCCUCCUCUCUCUCCCUCCAUUCCCCUUCCCUCUCAGAGGUUACCAAUAACUUGCAAUGUUAAUUUCGGUGGUUUUUCACCAUUCAUUAUCUGGUGUUUUGCCCAGGUAAUGAAUCUCUUUUGCUUAUCUUCUCUCUCCUCCAAUUCCUUAGCCCUUAUCUUUCCUUCAUCAAAUCCUUCUCCUCCCCCACGUGGGUACUGAAUAAUUGUCUGCUCUCGGCUCUCUCCUCUCCUUCACACAUUCUCACACAACGGAGUGACCUUUGAUUGGUUUUGUGACCACCCAGCGUCUAUUCCCUGUCUUUUGAUUGCCAAAUCUGUUUGCUUUGGAGGAAUCACCUUUCCUGCUUUAUGUGUCACCUUGUCGGGAAUGGAUGACAAGAUGUCUUUACUUCUUCUAGCCAAGGGGUGGGUGUAUGACCAAGUUCACUGGAUCCCCUCCCAGGACUUUGCAUAGUAGAGGGAAUGGAGAAAGUAGUUGGAGCUGACUCAUCCCUGCUUGAUGAGAUUGUUUGUGAAUUCUUCCCACAUGGGUCUCUAGAACUGCCUUAGUUCCUGUCUGUUCUGAAUAGAAGUCCGUUGGGCUCUUUUCUACCCAGAUUUGGUUUCUGUUGCUUGCAGCUAAGAACCCGUAGCAGGUACAUCCUAGAUGCACAUAACUUUGCCUAGUUCUGGAUGAUUUCCAAGCCAGUAUCUACAGAUGGCCUUGACCCUGUCCAGGGUCCUAUUCACAUAUCUCCAAAUGGCUGGCAGAUACUUCUAUUUAAUAUCCCACCAUCAUCUCCCACCUGACAGUCCUAAAGCCAAGUUAUUUUCUCUCUCCCAAAGCAGUUCUUCCUCUUAUACUCCAUAAGGGUUUUAGAAGAAUGAAUGCCAUCUCGGUCACUGAAACCAGGAAGAUGGGAAUGUGUUCUGACAACUCCUUCCUCCCUUUAUUUAUCCUAUAUCCAGCAUUGCCUGGGUGCUACUAAUAUUUUCUUCCUCAUGUCCUUCUUAUUCAUUAACCCCCCCUUAUUUUGUAUUUAGUUCAGACCCUCAUCACUUCAUACC